rnacentral:rRNA from 1 species
GUGCCAGCCGCCGCGGUAAGACGAACCGUACGAACGUUAUUCGGAAUUACUGGGCUUAAAGGGUUUGUAGGCGGCCUUGUAAGUCAGGUGUGAAAUCCCUCGGCUCAACCGAGGAAUGGCGCUUGAUACUGCAAGGCUUGAGGGAGACAGGGGUAAGCGGAACUGAUGGUGGAGCGGUGAAAUGCGUUGAUAUCAUCAGGAACACCGGUGGCGAAAGCGGCUUACUGGGUCUCUUCUGACGCUGAGGAACGAAAGCUAGGGUAGCGAACGGGAUUAGAUACCCCCGUAGUCC